rnacentral:lncRNA from 1 species
UGCUGCUUCCCAGGGCCCCAGGGCUACAGAGCUCCGUGUUUCCUCUGCGUAUAACCCGGCUUAACACACAUGCUGGUCAUGCAUAGGAUACAGAGGACAACACCAUCUCCAGAGCACCAGGGCCAGAUUGCUACAAACUCAGAGGCCUCAAACAACACACCGUCACUGCAGUCCGUGGAUUAGGGGUCCAGGUGCAGCUCAGACAGAUUUUUCUGAGACUGCAGGGAGAAGGACACAUGGACUUCAUUGUUUUUCAAGGCUCAGAGUCCUCCUUCCAGUGUAACGGGUGUCAGAAUUCAGUGGCCAAGUUACCAAGGCAACUCUCAGUUUCCAGAGGAUGCCCGAGUACAGCUCUUGGGUAGCUUCUUGGAAAAAGCACUGUGAGACCUUCUCUCUCCCAAAUAAAUCAAGAUAGUCAAAAGGCA